rnacentral:rRNA from 1 species
GAUGAACGCUGGCGGCAUGCCUAAUACAUGCAAGUCGAGCGAACAGACGAGGAGCUUGCUCCUCUGACGUUAUAGGCGGACGGGUGAGUAACACGGGGAUAACCUACCUAUAAGACUGGGAUAACAUCGGGAAACCGGAGCUAAUACCGGAUAAUAUAUUGAACCGCAUGGUUCACUAGUGAAAGACGGUUUUGCUGUGACUUAUAGAUGGAUCCGCGCCGCAUUAGCUAGUUGGUAAGGUAACGGCUUACCAAGGCAACGAGGCGUAGCCGACCUGAGAGGGUGAUCGGCCACACGGGCAGUGAGACUCGGUCCAGACUCCGACGGUAGGCAGCAGUAGGGACUCUUCCGCGAUGGGCGAAAGCCUGACGUAGCAACGCCGGGUGAGGGAUGAAGGUGUUAGGAUCGUAAAACGCUGUUAUUAGUGAAGAAGAAAUGUGUAAGUAACUAGGCUGAUCUUGACGGUACCGAAACAGAAAGCCCCGGUUAACUACGUG